AAUUUUAGAGAUUAAUUCCCAGGACUUUAAAAAUUCCUGAAUAUAAGCCAUUUGAAAUCAGUAACAGUAGGAAAUACUGCUUUUUCUCCCUGAACUUUUUAAAUGAUAAAAAAAACUUGAAGAAGUCCAUCAAUAUUUAGUAUUUAUGUUCUCAAACUAUCACUUCCUUUUAUUGUCUGUAGGAGUUUAAGCCAAUUUCAUUUUGAUUAAUGUUCUCUCUAUAGCUAAUCUUUAAAUUUUUUUGAGGCUGGACAUGUGGAAGAAUAAAAUCAGUCAAGUGGUAGAUUAGCCCAAUUGACUUUUAUAUCCCAGUCUCUGUUAUCCUGACCUAACUUUUUUCCUCUAUCAAAUUGAGAAAAAAUGAUCAGAAAGAUAGUACUAUGCUAA
ensembl:lncRNA novel transcript, antisense to PPP2R5A